UACGGAGGGGGCUAGCGUUGUUCGGAAUUACUGGGCGUAAAGCGCGCGUAGGCGGACCUGCAAGUCGGGGGGUGAAAGCCCGAGGCUCAACCUCGGAACUGCCUUCGAUACUGCGGGUCUCGAGUCCGGGGAGAGGUGAGUGGAAUUCCUAGUGUAGAGGUGAAAUUCGUAGAUAUUAGGAAGAACACCAGUGGCGAAGGCGGCUCA
rnacentral:rRNA from 1 species